rnacentral:lncRNA from 10 species
AAGCAUGGCUCGGGAGGCCUCAAGAAAUUUACAAUCAUGCUAUCAGGCAAAGAGGAAGCAGGCACAUCUUACAUGACCAGAGCAGGAGGAAGAGAGUGAAGGGAAACCAACAUCAUCGUAUUCUGAAAACCAGAAAGGUGAAUCUCCCUCAUUUGGUAUCCCACUGGGCCUGAUCUGUUUUUCACUGCAAAUGCACUACUGCUAAGACUGUAUAAGCACCUUCCCUCUUCACCCAGGGACCGAUGCAAAAGAGGCAGUCAUGUGAGAUUGUAAGGGCUGCUUUUGAGGGGUAAAAUUAGGUCAAGCUCAGACCCUCCAAAUCAAGGAUGGGUACAAAGAUGUUUAAACUGCUUGCAAAACAAGGGACUUUGCCUCCUGAGCUAUUAUUAUGUGGCACCUUUGCAUCUACCCAACCAUAAAGAAUUUCCUGCUUCCUGCAGAAUUAGAAGAAAAUAAUUCCUGAUAAGAUAAAGAUACCUUGUGACAAAGCCUCCUAAGCAUAAUACUCCCAGUUAGGAGUUGUCCCAAUAGAUACAUAUUUUCUUAAAAUAUUUUUUCAGAACAAUAUGUAUAUUUUGUAUAGUUAAUUGCCAUAUGUCUGUAGCUAAAACCAAGAUUAGAGUAACUCAAAGCAUAUAAAUUAAAAAUGUC